rnacentral:rRNA from 1 species
UACGGAGGAGGCAAGCGUUAUCCGGAAUUAUUGGGCGUAAAGCGUCCGCAGGUGGCACCUCAAGUCUGCUGUCAAAGACCGGGGCUUAACCCCAGAAAGGCAGUGGAAACUGAAGUGCUAGAGUGCAGUAGGGGUAGAGGGAAUUCCCGGUGUAGCGGUGAAAUGCGUAGAGAUCGGGAAGAACAUCGGUGGCGAAGGCGGCUGCUCUGGGACGGUACUGACACUGAGGAGCGAAAGCGUGGGGAGCGAACAGG